UACGAAGGGGGCUAGCGUUGCUCGGAAUCACAGGGCGUAAAGGGUGCGUAGGCGGGUCUUUAAGUCAGGGGUGAAAUCCUGGAGCUCAACUCCAGAACUGCCUUUGAUACUGAGGAUCUUGAGUACGGGAGAGGUGAGUGGAACUGCGAGUGUAGAGGUGAAAUUCGUAGAUAUUCGCAAGAACACCAGUGGCGAAGGCGGCUCACUGGCCCGUUACUGACGCUGAGGCACGAAAGCGUGGGGAGCAAACAGG
rnacentral:rRNA from 1 species